CUGGAAGCAAUUUGAAAUUCAAAUUUCAAAUCCCACUCUCUCCUCUCAAGUCUCGAUUUUAAAUUUAAACCAAGAGCUCAAUUUCUACUUGCAGAAGUGGGAAAUCCGAAAACCAAGAAAUGGAUGGGAUUUUUCUUAGGGUUCCAUACAUAAUACAAAAGCAAGUCAAAUUCUGCUAUACUAAUGCACGAUAAGUGUUUGUAGCAAUGUCACGAAGAGUUCCUAUUUUUGUAAGAAAUGAUUAGAUUUUUCUUGAGGUUCUGUACAAAGCAUAUAAAGUUCUGUCAUUACUGAUGCAUGGUAACCUUUGUAGAAAUGUCACAAAGAAGUUUCUUUUGUUGGGGGCAGAUUUUGGGUCCUGAUUAGUUCAAGUCCUUAGAGCUAAUGUGUACAAGAUCUGAGAUUGUAGUGGAAAAGAAGUUGUAUUUUAAUUUUUGGGUCACAUUUUAAUUUUCUUAGAGUUGUGGAAAUUGAAAGGAGACUAGAGGCCGUUGUUGAAGCUGAACACAACUUCAGUGGAUGGAACCUGAGGAGAACUCAGAUGAAGCGAAACUUUCUAAGAAAGCUUCGCAAAGUGGUAGAUGGAUUUUCGGUUUUUGGUAAGGUCAUUUUGGAUAUCUUCUGCAAUUCACAUAGAUUAUACCUUUAGCCAGUUAAAGAUUUUUUGCGGUGCAGAAAACCGGAGAGGUCAGCGGUAGAGAACAUUCUAAAGUUAAUUACUUUGAGCUCCUUUUCAGUUAUUUUUUGUGAAAUUUUAAUAUGAUUCUACCUAAUAAUGUAUUUAAUAAAGUGGUAUUUUUAUAGGUGAUUUCCUAUAUUAGAACUGGGAGCAAUCUACUUUAGUCCUUAACUGGUAGAUACAAAUACCUUCCCUAUACGGUGAAGCAACUAAUCUCAAUGUAGGUUCUUUAAUCCUAAUAGCAAACUUACCCCAAAUCUGACGUAGCGACAAGAUUUUUUUUUAACAUCAACUUUAAAUCCAUGAAUUGUACUUAAAGGUAGUAAUAAGAACAUAAUAUGUUCACAAUUCUGUUCCUAUGCACGCCAGCUUAGGAUUGUAUAAGGGAAACCAGUUAUGAUGUUUAUUUCUAUUUCUUUUGAUUUGCUUGUUAGUUCUUCCUCUGUUUUAAGGUUCCAGAAAAUUUGGCAGCCGACACUUCUCGAUCAUUCCCACAGGAUGAGUUUUGAAGCUUGCAUCAGGCGGCCUCGCAGUUUAUUGGUGAUGGUGGUGGACAUUGCACAUGUUAUGGGUAAUGAUGUUGAACCCAACAUCAAUAGCAGCAGACAAGAAACUAACUGUACCAAGGUAGCCAUUUUCCAUGAGAGGAAAGGAGGACAAGGUGUUACUUAGCAUCAACAUACACGGAGAUAUUUCCAGCAUGGGAAAAGGUGUAUCUGAUUGUUUAAGGAUCUCUUAUUGGGUUCUAGAGUAAUUCAAGUUGGUUAUCUUCUUGAUUAUGGGAGCCAAAUAUUGGAAGCAUGUCACUAAUUGAUGAAGUUCAAUUACUGUGAAUGAUGCUAUGAUUAAACAUGGAGGUAAUCUUCGUGUUUGUAUCUUUCAAUUUUCUAUGUAAUCUUCUCAUCGUAUUUACUUUAAAUGAUGCUUCGUGUUUACUACUGCAAGUGUCAUAAAUUCUUCAUAUAAUCUUGACGACGAGCAGAAAAACGCUAUUAAUAAAAUAUUAUUCCAGGUUAAUGGUUUUUACUUGAGUCAAGUUAUGGUCAAAUCAACACAACCUUAAUUCAGUUGAUGUUCCAGUCGUGGCCUCCUUUUAGUUUUCUUGAUUUUUUCUUAAAAUUGUUUUGAUUUUUGAGGUAUGAAAAUACUUAAGCUUUGGUCUCUACAAAACUAAAACAUAAACCUAAGUGUGAUUUAGAAAACCUAAAAAGACCCCCACUCUGUGUUAUGGGACUUUAAAAAUGCAAAGUUAGUAACGCGUUCAUAUCUAAGCAUGAGUAUGAGUUAGCUGUUGUAAGAUGCCAGAGCCUAUCAUCUGCUUCCAUUUAUUUAUUUGGUUAUUCUUUUUGUUCUUUGUUAACUUGAUCCUGGUAUCACUUUGUUCUCAUCUGCAACCACGUGCAAUAAAAAAUGGUGCUAUCAAACAGCCAAAAGAAGUAACAAAUAAAAUUUUCAUUGAAAUAUCUGUCUAUCCAACUUGGUUGUUACCUAUAUAUUUGGCGGCCACAAUUUUAUUGAUGAAACAAGACAUCCCUGAAUUGGGAUACUGUAUGAUCUCAAUGAUGAUGGUUGUGAAAAGCGAGGUCAGCA